rnacentral:rRNA from 1 species
UACAGAGGGUGCGAACGUUGCUCGGAAUUACUGGGCGUAAAGCGCGUGUAGGGCUGCUUCGCAAGUCGGAUGUGAAAGCCCUGGGCUCAACCCAGGAAGUGCAUUCGAAACUGCAGAGCUGGAGUCCUGGAGAGGAAGGCGGAAUUCUCGGUGUAGAGGUGAAAUUCGUAGAUAUCGAGAGGAACACCGGUGGCGAAGGCGGCCUUCUGGACAGUGACUGACGCUGAGACGCGAAAGCGUGGGGAGCAAACAGG